rnacentral:lncRNA from 1 species
AAAUACGAAAAAAAGCUACAUAGUUGACGAUACAGAAGAAAGAGCUUUAAACAAGAUAUGCUAAUAUGCUGUAUGGUGGAAAAAUUUCAUUGGACGCUUGCAAUAAUCAAACCAGGUAAUAAAACAAUUCACUCUAUGGACCCUAUGGGAGAACAGACAAAUUCCA